GUGCCAGCAGCCGCGGUAAUUCCAGCUCCAAUAGCGUAUAUUAAUGUUGUUGCAGUUAAAAAGCUCGUAGUUGAAUAUCUGGACUCAACUUUCGGUCCGGGGCCUUGUGUCCUGCGUACUGUUCUUGUUGGGUCCAUCUUAGUAGUGAAUGGUUCUGGCAUUAAGUUGUUGGGGUCGGGAGCUGCUUCGUUUACUGUGAAUAAAAUAGAGUGUUUAAAGCAGGCAUUACGCCUUGAAUACUUCAGCAUGGAAUAAAAUUAUAGGACUUAGUUGCUAUUUUAUUGGUUUGCGCACCUAGUAAUGAUUAAUAGGGACAGUUGGGGGUAUUCAUAUUUGAUUGUCAGAGGUGAAAUUCUUGGAUUUAUGAAAGACGAACUUCUGCGAAAGCAUUUACCAAAGAUGUUUUCAUUAAUCAAGAACGAAAGUUAGGGGAUCGAAGAGGAUUAGAUACCCUCGUAGUCUUAACCAUAAACUAUGCCGACUCGGGAUCAGUGGGGUUUGUUUAACGUCUCCAUUGGCACCGUAUGAGAAAUCAAAGUCUUUGGGUUCCGGGGGGAGUAUGGUCGCAAGGCUGAAACUUAAAGGAAUUGACGGAAGGGCACCACCAGGAGUGGAGCCUGCGGCUUAAUUUGACUCAACACGGGGAAACUUACCAGGUCCGGACAUAGUAAGGAUUGACAGAUUGACAGCUCUUUCUUGAUUCUAUGGGUGGUGGUGCAUGGCCGUUCUUAGUUGGUGGAGUGAUUUGUCUGGUUAAUUCCGUUAACGGACGAGACCUCCGCCUGCUAAAUAGUGACAGUUUUGCUUGCAAAGCUGGUUUAUCUUCUUAGAGGGACACUCGGUUUUAGCCGAAGGAAGUCGGAGGCAAUAACAGGU
rnacentral:rRNA from 1 species